rnacentral:lncRNA from 1 species
UAACAACAAGCACUGCAAGUGGAGAGGAAGCUCACCAAGUCUGGUUUGAAAUAUCCUUCAGCAACAUUGAAGAAUGGCGGCAAAUGGUCAUACUCAGCUGAUAACUUCCUCUCAGUGAAUGCACAUGAAUCCUUGAAUGACAGUAUCCUCCUCCUCUGUAGCCUUGGGCCUCCCUCUGAGCAGGGACUUCUAGUCACAUCAAACAGCACCUGA